rnacentral:rRNA from 1 species
GACUGGAAUUCACCUUCGGGUGAUAGUACGGUGGCGGACGGGUGAGUAACGCGUAAAGAACUUGCCCUCUAGACUGGGACAACUGUUGGAAACGACAGCUAAUACCGGAUAUUAUGAGAUUCUCGCAUGGGAAACUUAUGAAAGGCUAUAUGCGCUAGAGGAGAGCUUUGCGUGCCAUUAGGUAGUUGGUAGGGUGAUGGCCUACCAAGCCGACGAUGGCUAGCCGGCCUGAGAGGGUGAUCGGCCACAAGGGGACUGAGACACGGCCCUUACUCCUACGGGGGGCAGCAGUGGGGAAUAUUGGACAAUGGACCAAAAGUCUGAUCCAGCAAUUCUGUGUGCACGAUGAAGUUU